UAGGGAAUCUUCCGCAAUGGACGCAAGUCUGACGGAGCAACGCCGCGUGAGUGAUGAAGGAUUUCGGUUCGUAAAACUCUGUUGUUAGAGAAGAACAGCGCUUAGAGUAACUGUCAUGUGUGUUACGGUAUCUAACCAGUAAAUCACGGCUAACUACGUUCCAGCCGCCCCGGUAAUACGUAGGUGGCAAGCGUUUUCCGGAUGUAUUUGGCGUAAAGCGGGCGCAGGCGGGCAAUUAAGUCUGAUGAGAAAGCCCCCGGCUCAACCGGGGAGGGUAAUUGGAAACUGGAUGACUUGAGGGCAGGAGAGGAGAGUGGAAUUCCACGUGGAGCGGUGAAAUGCGGAGAUAUAUGGAGGAACACCAGGGGCGAAGGCGACUCUCUGGUCUGUAACUGACGCUGAGGCUCGAAAGCGUGGGUAGCAAACAGG
rnacentral:rRNA from 1 species